UACGGAGGAGGCAAGCGUUAUCCGGAAUUAUUGGGCGUAAAGCGUCCGUAGGCGGCACUUCAAGUCUGUUGUCAAAGACUGGGGCUUAACCCUGGAAAGGCGGUGGAAACUGAAGCGCUAGAGUGCGGUAGGGGUAGAGGGAAUUCCCGGUGUAGCGGUGAAAUGCGUAGAUAUCUGGAGGAACACCGGUGGCGAAGGCGGCAUCCUGGACCGGUAUUGACGCUGAGGCGCGAAAGCCAGGGGAGCAAACGGG
rnacentral:rRNA from 1 species